UACAGAGGGUGCAAGCGUUGUUCGGAAUCACUGGGCGUAAAGGGCGCGUAGGCGGGAUGGCAAGUCGGUCGUGAAAUCCCUCGGCUCAACCGAGGAACGUCGAUCGAUACUGCUGUUCUUGAGGAUUGCAGAGGAGACUGGAAUUCCCGGUGUAGCGGUGAAAUGUGUAGAGAUCGGGAGGAACACCGGUGGCGAAGGCGGGUCUCUGGGCAAUUCCUGACGCUGAGGCGCGAAAGCGUGGGGAGCAAACGGG
rnacentral:rRNA from 1 species